rnacentral:rRNA from 1 species
GCCUGUUUAUCAAAAACAUGGCCUUUUGUGAAUAAUUUAAGGUCUGGCCUGCCCAAUGAUUUGGUUAAAUGGCCGCGGUACUCUGACCGUGCAAAGGUAGCAUAAUCAUUAGUUUUUUAAUUGAAAGCUGGUAUGAACGGUCGGACAAGAAAAUUACUGUCUCAAUUUAAUGGUUUUAGAAUUUUAUUUUUUAGUCAGAAGGCUAAAAUAGUCUUAAGGGACGAGAAGACCCUAUAGAAUUUUAUAAAUUUUAUUGGGUUGGGUUUUUAGGUUUAUUAAUUAGACUUAGUAAAAUUUAUUUUGUUGGGGUGAUGGAAAAAUUUAAGAAACUUUUUUUGUAAAAAAAAAUCAUUAAUUUAUGAUUGGGUGAUCCGUUUAUAGCGAUUACAAGAUUAAAUUACCUUAGGGAUAACAGCGUUAUUAGUCUGGGGAGUUCUUAUCGAUAGACUAGUUUGCGACCUCGAUGUUGGAUUAAAAUAAACUUUUGGUGUAGGGGCUGGAAAGUUAAGUCUGUUCGACUUUUAAAAUUUUACAUGAUCUGAGUUCAGACCGG